GGGCCGCUAGCUCAUUCGGUAGAGCAGUUGCCUCUUAAGCAACGGGUGGGAGGUUCGAAUCCUCCGCGGCUCA
rnacentral:tRNA from 1 species